rnacentral:lncRNA from 1 species
CAUCUUUUCUCUCUCUCUCUCUUUUUCUCAUCUCUUCUUCCUCUCCUAAAUACCCCUUUGUAUUGUAGGACCCUACAAGUAUAACCAUUGUUAAGGAUUAUAAAGUGAUAAACGAUGUAUUGUCAGAGUUUAGGAAGAUGCAACAAAGGUUUGAUCUUUAAUUAUGGGUUUGAUUCUUACAAGUUUGUACUAUUAUCUUUUUUCGAUUUAAUUUCUAGAUGUAAUUCUUUAAUUUCUUUAAUUUUUAGGGUUAAUUUUUGGGUUUAAUCUCUGAGUUUAACUUGAAAAUGUUUAGUUUCUCUAAUUUUUGGAUUUAAUUCUCAAUUUGGUAAUAUGAAAUCCAUAUUUGGAAUUGAAUUAUUGUCAACAUGAACAAUAUAUGGCUAGUACCUUCAAUCAAAUUGCUCCCAAAGUAUAAUGUUAUUCUUGAUAAAGUUGAAACUUUUGGUUCUCUAGCAAGGAACACUUACCAUUUGAAGAAUUUGCAGGGCCACUUAUUUCAAAAUCCAUGGACCUAGACCCUCUAAUAUCAUGGCAAGUGUAUGUAUUCCGGUAUAAAUCAGUUUCAAGGAGAAAUAUUGAGUUGCAUGCAUUUAGAUCACUGUCGGAGCGAUUCAAGAAUGGAUUUAUUCUCAAGAAUAAUUUUGUCAUCAACAAACCACCAUUGUCGAAGCUUGAUGGAUUUUAAUGGGUUUUCUAGUUCUUAAUGGAUCAUUUUUCUUUUCUUUAAUUUUUAUCUUUUGUUUUAUUAAUUUUCUAGAGUUUAAUAUUAUUAAUAGGUUCUUGAUCCAAUUUUCUAUUUCGAUAUUUGUUCUUAUGGAGUCAAUUUUUCUAUUAUAACAGUUUUGUUCUUGAUGAAUUGUUGCAUUAUUAUGUGUAUCUUAAUUUUUUGGGUUAAUUUUUCUAGAAUUGAAUAUUUAUACGUUGUUCUCUUCUUCUUCUUUUCGAAAAAUUUUUAAGUUUGCAUUUUUAUUAGUGUUUGAUGGGUUUAUGGUUCUUGAAUAGCUCAUAAGACCCAUAUCUCAGAGAGAGGCAGCAAGAUUGCUAAUUUUGACUUCUGAAGCUGGCUUGGAGUUUUUUAUCGGUAAUUUGACACUAAUUUAUUGGUAAUUUGUCACUAAAUUUCAUUAUUUACCUCCUACAUUUCUACCUAAAAUUUUAAAAUUUUUUAAAGAUUUGUCAGUAUUUUGUCGCUAAUUGAUCAAUAAUUUGACGAUAAAUUCUCAAAAUAUAUGCGUAUUUACGCCGCAAUUUUUAUUGACAAAAUUGAUAUUUGUCGCUAAAUUUUAUCGGUAAUUUAUCACUAAUUUGUUAAAAAAUUAGGCAGCAAUAUUAGGCGCUCUUAUUAGCAAAAAAAUUCAAUAUUAUCGGUAAAUUGAUGGUAUUUUGUUGAUGAUAUUAAACAAUCUUUUUUAUUUUAAAAUUAAAUUUUGUUGGUUAUUUGUGCUAAAUACCAACAAAAACCUUUUGUCAGUAAAUUUUGUCUGUGCACACUAAUUUUCUUAUGGUGAUAGGAGGUUGUUGGGCAGCAAGAAAUAGAGAUUAAAAAGGUUAAUUCCUCAAAGUUCAGGUCAAAUUUAGCUUAUUUGGCAAAUUUAAACUAAAAAUGUCACAAAUGUCACACCUUACUUCACUGUAAAAUAUAGCAUAUCGCCCGUAAUAUGUCUAUUAAGCACUUAUUUUGCAUAAGAACUCAAUAAACAUACUACAAGGGACUUAAAUAAAAUAAUUUAAAAACAUAUCUUUUUAUUCGUUAAUUUAUUAAUGGAAAACAAUACUUAGAAACAUUUUCAAAAACUCUUUUUGUAUUUUAAAAUAUAUGCUUACAUAUAUAAGGAAAGAUAAAUUAUAAUAUCAUAAAUUUUGAAUUUUAUAAUCAACGUAAAUGGUUCCAUAACCCAUAAACCCAAUUGAAAUGUAGUUAUAUACCGGACCGAUUUCAUUUUCAUAAAUAAAUAAUAAUAAAGGUAUAUAUAUAUUUCGUAUGUCUUAAGCUAGUAUAUAUAUAUAUAAUUUCAAAAAAGAAACAAUAUACACCAUAGUUAUAAUAAUAGUUCUUUUAUGUACGAUAAACAAAAAGAAACCCCAUAAUUAGCAGGAUUCACUCUCUUGCUUUCUUUUUUUUCUUUUCCCGGUGAUAGUACAGAAAAAAGUAUCACUAAGCAAAUUGCUUAAUGGUGCAUAUAUGUAAAAUUAAAUGAAAAUUCACAUUUUUCCAAUAUAACAAUAAUUGUAAAUAAAAUUUCGUAUGAAAACACUUUUUCAGAUAUUCUUACUUUAAAAUCAAGUUCUCUUAAAACCUAAUGAAGAGUUUUAGAAGAAGGCACUUUAAUAAUAACAAUAGAAAUUCCUUACUUAAAAUUCAAUAGAUGCUCUACAUAAAAAUGAUAGAAUAGCAUCAAUACAAUUUCAAGAAAACAUCCAUUCAAGAACUUGAUAAUAUCCAAUUUAGUCUCAACAAUCUAAAUAGACUCAAUCCGAAGAGUUAUCAGUGUCCUAUGAGUUCAUCAAGAUAAAGUAUCUCAAUCUUAAUAUGUGAUUUUUUUAUCUCAACAGAGGGACAAUCCCGGCCUCAUCUAGGAGGGAAUAAUGUCAUUUGCAAUUUCAUUUACAAUAUCAAUCACAAUAUCAACUUCAACAAAUAAAGUGAUAUCGAUAAUAACCAUGUCUAUUAAUUGCUGUGAGACUAUAAACUAUUUCAUAUAUUAACCAUAAUUGAAAACACAUUGUGUAACAAUCCAUUUUUCACAAACACUUCUAAAAAUAUUCAUUUACGGUCACCCCUCAUACAACAAAUAACAUGUGGCCAACAUUCUCCUUUCCAUACAAAUAGAUUUUCAAUUUAACUAUAAGAAUCAUCUAAAAAAUCAUAUCAUAUCAAAUCAUACUUCUUUUCUUUCAAAAUCCAUAAAACCCUUAUUCUAAUAUUUCCUUUUGAUUCAUAAGCCUCUUUAUGAAAUUAAAUAUGAAAUCAAAUACAUUUCGAUUUGAAAGAAAAUAAGAAAGGAGCAAUGCACUAACCUGAGUUGAAAAACUCCCCUAGCCUUUCUUCUCUAUUUAUUGACUCUUAAACCAUUUCUGUGGCUUAUCUCAACAUAUAAUCAAAUUACACAAUACAUUUUAAUUCUUGUUUACAGCUCUUUAUUGAUAUUUAAAUUCUUAUUAUUUUUAUUUUAGUUUACAUUUAUAUUUCAUCUCAUUAAUACCAUAAAUUUAUAUUCUUAACCAGACUAAUUAAUUUAAAUCUUUCAUAAUCUUAUUUAUCACUUCGAAAUCCAUAUUUCUUUAUAUAUAUUUAAAUUCAUUUAUUUUGUUUAAUGACUAGAGAUAACAUUAGGCUUACUUAAAUAUAUUUAUCAAAAUCAUUUGGCUACUUUACUUUCUUUAAAAAAUCUUACUUUAUAAAAAUAUCAUACUUUACAAACCAUUUGACUAAACUUGAUUUUAUCUAACAAAUUCUAUUUUAUUUUUCAAUUAAAUUUGAUAAUUUCUUUUUAAAUUCCAUUAAAACAAAAGCUUAGCUUAUUUAUUAUAUAUAUAUAUAUAUAUAUAUAUAUAUAUAUAUAUAUAUAUNNNNNNNNNNNNNNNNNNNNNNNNNNNNNNNNNNNNNNNNNNNNNNNUUUUUUUUUUUUUUGUCAAAUAAAUGUAACAAGAUUUUACAAUAAAAAUCCUUGGUUUCUUUACCUUGUUUUUUCUUAAAAUAUCACUUAAAAUUACAUUUUCAAAUACUUUAUUAAAUUUAAUCAAAUACAAAUACAAAUUUUGCAUUUAUUAAACUAUCUUAUUCUUUCAUUAAUUUAUUUCCUUCCUAAUAACGCAAUUUGUUAUUUUAUACAAUAAAUUUAAUUCUUGAAUAAACCUUUCUUUUUGUCAAAAAAUCCAAUAGCAUUUUAUUUAUAAUUUGAUAUGUCUGAAUUUUAUAUAUCACAAUAAUUUUUGUUAAAAAAAUCCAAUAGCAUUUUAUUUAUAAUUUGAUCUGUCUGAAUUUCAUAUAUCACAUCCAUUCGACACUUCACAAUAAUUUCCUAUCCGCCGUUCUUAAUAUUUCUUUCUCUCUUUGAUUAACUCAUUAAUAGACCUAAUUGUCCUUAAUUUCAAUUUCACACAUUUUACAAAUUCUUGCCAUCUUCAAUCGAUAAUUUAUAAUCUGUUAAUUUCUUUUGAUUACUGGAAAUUAAUUACUACAUUAAUUUCACACCACUAACUUAAUUAUUUUAAUCAAUACUAAUAAAUUUCCAAUUUAUGAUUUACACUGAAAUUACUGAAUUAAACUUUGAAGUAUACCUACCAAUUGCAAAUUCAGAGUUCGGAUUCAGAACUAGCACGAGAAGAGGGUGAUUCUGGCUCCCGGGGCCCAGCCGGGGUCUCGCAGGCUGGUGACCGACCUCCGCCGUCCACGAUGGCCGGAAAAUCCAAACAGCCCUGAAUUCGCAAGGACACCUCCACCUGACUCAAAUUUCGCUAAAGAUUCCAUUUCUGGCGUCAAUUGAGCGAGAUCGGACCUCUAACUUGUCGGAUUGGGUUCUGUAUCUCCACCGCUUGUGGUGGUUUCAUCCUCAAUGCUCCGUGGCCAGAAUCGAUGGAGGGAAAAUAGUCGUGUGAAGGAGAGGAGUCGACCGGUGCCUUCCCUUAACGCUAGAACUUCCGGAAACGGCGUGGAUCACCGGAAAACCUCAUCGCGUGACAUCGCUCGAAUUUCAGUCACGUUCUUUCUCGUUUCAGGCUUCUACCUCCCAAAUCAAGACCACAGGCGAGUUCCUAUCGUUGCGAAGAUGAAGUUGGAGUGCUUUAUUGCCGGGUUUCAUGGCCGGUGGCCUAAAAAUGAACGGGGGCAGGGGAGGGGAACGGAAAAGGAGAGAGGGAGAGUGAGUUUUGUUUCCUUUUUAUCUUUUCUUGUCUUCUUUAUUUCUUUUCUUUUAACUCUCUUUUAAUUUCUUUAUACAUUUAUUUUAGUAAUAACAAAAUCACCUGAAGCUUGUUGUUUAUGUAAAAACUGAUCAAUUAGUUUUAUAGCAUCUGUUGCUAUACAAAUAUAUAAAAAUUAUCUUUUACCUUGUAAUGGUUCUUAUAGGUUUAUUCAAACUUUCCUUAUCAAUGUCAUCUGCUCCUGUUAUUUUCUCCACCGUAACUCUUCCAUCUCUAUAUCUAUAUUAGAUUCAAUAUUCUUUCAUCUUUCUCUUGAUUAUUCUAAAAAUAUCAUAACUCGACUCUCUCUAAAUCUUACUUGGUUCGACGGUCAGCAAAUUAAU